rnacentral:piRNA from 1 species
UGAGCUGAGAUUGUGCCCAUCAACAGAUGA